rnacentral:rRNA from 1 species
CCUACGGGAGCAGCAGUGGGGAAUAUUGCACAAUGGGGGAAACCCUGAUGCAGCGACGCCGCGUGAAGGAAGAAGUAUUUCGGUAUGUAAACUUCUAUCAGCAGGGAAGAAAAUGACGGUACCUGACUAAGAAGCCCCGGCUAACUACGUGCCAGCAGCCGCGGUAAUACGUAGGGGGCAAGCGUUAUCCGGAUUUACUGGGUGUAAAGGGAGUGUAGACGGUUCUGCAAGUCUGAAGUGAAAGCCCGUGGCUUAACCGCGGAACGGCUUUGGAAACUGUGGAACUGGAGUGCUGGAGAGGCAAG